UGAAACUGAUCUCUCCGUGAAGAAGCGGGGAUACAAAUAUAAGACGAGAAGACCCCAUGGAGCUUUAAACCCAACGACACCCAUUUUCUUUAUACCCUAGUAUUCAUUUGGCUAUGUUUGAUUGGUUUUAGGUUGGGGUGACCACGGAGCAUAAAAUAACCUCCACGAAGAAGAGACUAAUAAUCUUUAUCAAAGAAGUACACUUCUAAGAAUUAACAAAUUAAUUUCCAAUGAUCCGAUAUUCGAUCAACGAACCAAGUUACCCUGGGGAUAACAGCGCAAUCCACCUCAAGAGCUCCUAUCGACAGGUGGGUUUACGACCUCGAUGUUGGAUCAGGAUAUCCCAGUGGUGUAGCAGCUACUAAAGGUUCGUUUGUUCAACGAUUA
rnacentral:rRNA from 1 species